rnacentral:rRNA from 1 species
GAUGAACGCUGGCGGCGUGCCUAAUACAUGCAAGUCGAGCGAACAGACGAGGAGCUUGCUCCUCUGACGUUAGCGGCGGACGGGUGAGUAACACGUGGAUAACCUACCUAUAAGACUGGGAUAACUUCGGGAAACCGGAGCUACUACCGGAUAAUAUAUUGAACCGCAUGGUUCAAUAGUGAAAGACGGUUUUGCUGUCACUUAUAGAUGGAUCCGCGCCGCAUUAGCUAGUUGGUAAGGUAACGGCUUACCAAGGCGAUGAUGCGUAGCCGACCUGAGAGGGUGAUCGGCCACACGGGAACUGAGACACGGUCCAGACUCCUACGGGAGGCAGCAGUAGGGAAUCUUCCGCAAUGGGCGAAAGCCUGAUGGAGCAACGCCGCGUGAGUGAUGAAGGUCUUCGGAUCGUAAAGCUCUGUUAGUAGGGAAGAACAAAUGUGUAAGUAACUAUGCACGUCUUGACGGUACCUAAUCAGAAAGCCCCGGCUAACUACGUG